rnacentral:tRNA from 1 species
GUGGGCGGCCUGCGCGGGGCUCAGUGCCGGGGCCUUCGGGGCCUCGGGAACGAUGUCGCGCGCGUCCUUCAUCUGCUCGAAACCGGCUCGUUCACGC